rnacentral:rRNA from 1 species
GGCUCAGAUCGAACGCUGGCGGCGCGCCUAAUACAUGCAAGUCGAGCGAGAAGACGUAGCAAUACGUUUGUAAAGCGGCGAACGGGUGAGGAAUACAUGGGUAACCUACCCUCGAGUGGGGAAUAACUAGCCGAAAGGUUAGCUAAUACCGCGUACGCUUCUUGGACUUCGGUUCAGGGAGGAAAGCGCUACCGAGGGUAGCGCGCUCUUGGAUGGGCUCAUGUCCUAUCAGCUUGUUGGUGAGGUAAUGGCUCACCAAGGCUUUGACGGGUAGCUGGUCUGAGAGGACGAUCAGCCACACUGGCACUGCGACACGGGCCAGACUCCUACGGGAGGCAGCAGUAAGGAAUAUUGCGCAAUGGGCGAAAGCCUGACGCAGCGACGCCGCGUGGGGGAUGAAGGUCUUCGGAUUGUAAACCCCUUUCGGGAGGGAAGAUGGAGCGAGCAAUCGUUCGGACGGUACCUCCAGAAGCAGCCACGGCCAACUUCGUGCCAGCAGCCGCGGUAAUACGAAGGUGGCAAGCGUUGUUCGGAUUCACUGGGCGUACAGGGUGUGUAGGCGGUUUGGUAAGCCUUCUGUUAAAGCUUCGGGCCCAACCCGGAAAGCGCAGAGGGUACUGCCAGGCUAGAGGGUGGGAGAGGAGCGCGGAAUUCCCGGUGUAGCGGUGAAAUGCGUAGAGA